GCAGUUUGUUCUCCUCUGUAAAUUAGCGAUUAGCUUUAAGUAAACAUGAACGUGAAGACCUGGGUUUGAUUGACAGGUAAUCUGGGUGUGGAUGGUCUCAUACGGUAGUGUUUCAGAGGAGAAAAAACU